rnacentral:rRNA from 1 species
UAGGGAAUCUUUCCACAAUGGACGAAAGUCUGAUGGAGCAACGCCGCGUGAGUGAAGAAGGGUUUCGGCUCGUAAAACUCUGUUGUUAAAGAAGAACAUAUCUGAGAGUAACUGUUCAGGUAUUGACGGUAUUUAACCAGAAAGCCACGGCUAAAUACGUGCCAG